rnacentral:lncRNA from 1 species
UUUUGACUCCUGAAGAGUUAAAUUGUGGAGAAUCGAAUGAUUACUUUAUUAAUUGAACAUUUAAUAAAAUAAUAACAUUUUUAUCUAUCUUAAUCACAUGUUUAAAGUUUAAUAUUGAUCUUAGUAAUUAGUAAAAAGUAAGUAAAAAUUAUCUAGGACCUAAAUAAAAAUAAAUAAUUUUGGGAGGUGUAAAGUGUAAACAAACAAACAAACACAAUGGCAACCAUGAAUGGAGAGAUUAAAAUAAGUCAAGACGGUACCGGCCAUGUUCAAAAUUAGGAUUACUACCUUCAAAUUCCAUAAAUCAAGUACGUCAUUCCUCCUCAGGUAAGGCAAUUUACGAGAGGUUAUUAGAAAGACCGGCGAACGGCGAAUAAAAUCCGUCCUAGAACGACGAUGUUUUUUUUCUCGUCGCCUUCUUGGGGGCGCAAUACUUUUGCUUUCUUAUUUCUUAUGUCAUCGGCGUUUAUGGUGGUCCUGAUGUUAUCGUCCGGAACCACCGAGGCGAAAAGAUUUCUGUUGGGAUCAGCCAAAUACGAGAAGCUGUGCCAAAAAAUGGACCACCCAGACCUCUGUUAUUCUGUGUAUAACAAAUAUGGAGAUGAAGAUGAGAGGGCGCUUUCCGCCGACAUGCUGAAGGUGGUGAAGUUCAAGGCUAAGAAAGCUAGUAAAAUGGCUGAAAAUUUGAAAUCCAAUCUUAACCAUAAAUCAAUGACGUAUCAGUUACUUGAUGUCUGCCAGACGAACUUCGACAGCAUGUCCGAUGACAUCAAUUCUGCAUUGCAAAACAUCGACGGAAAGAAAAAUAAUGUGCCGAUAAAUAUAAGCUUGUCUGCUUUAGCCGCGUAUAUAGAAGCAUGCACCGAUGGCUACGGCGAUUCACCUGGACAAAAGGAUCCGUUUACCAAACUCCUCGUUCCGAUGCAGGAGCUUGUUGAAAACCUCUUUGUUACGGUAGGAAAGGAUUAAAUACGUUUAUGAUCGAGCAGGAGAUCGAUCGAUUACCAGAAUAUUUACCUAUCUAUCCAUCUAUUUAUUUAUUUAUUUAUUUAUAAUCGAUCCUUAAUAUACCGGAUUCCUUGCAUGUACUUAUUAUUAAAUCGUAAUUGAUUUGAGCUUUUUUAAUUUUACCCAUCUUCGAUUCUUCCAUGUAUGCCUCUGGACUCUUCUCUGAAGUUUUCUCAUUUUCACGGUGGCCGCCGCCCGCCGGCCGGAUUCAUUCAUAGUAAAUUUAUAUACAAUUAAUUCAAACUAUGUACGUGCGUCAAAAAACCAUUUGAUCCAAUUACAUAUUUAAAUUAUUAUAUUUUAAGUUUUAAUAUUUAA